rnacentral:rRNA from 1 species
GUUGUAUGGUUAAGUGACUAAGCGUACACGGUGGAUGCCUUGGCAGUCAGAGGCGAUGAAAGACGUAGUAACUUGCGAUAAGCCCAGAUUAGGUAGUAACAACCAUUUGAGUCUGGGAUUUCUGAAUGGGGAAACCCACGUGCAUAAGCACGUAUCCUUACCUGAAUACAUAGGGUAAGGAGGCGAACCGGGGGAACUGAAACAUCUAAGUACCCCGAGGAAAAGAAAUCAACCGAGAUUCCGAAAGUAGCGGCGAGCGAAAUUGGACUAGCCCUUAAGCUUUACACGCGUUAGACGAACGGUCUGGAAAGUCCGACGAUACAGGGUGAUAGUCCCGUAGUUGACGACGUGUGUUCAGUGAAAUCGAGUAGGGCGGGACACGUGAUAUCCUGUCUGAAUAUGGGGGGACCAUCCUCCAAGGCUAAAUACUACUGACUGACCGAUAGUGAACCAGUACCGUGAGGGAAAGGCGAAAAGAACCCCUGUGAGGGGAGUGAAAUAGAACCUGAAACCGUGUACGUACAAGCAGUAGGAGCAGGCUUUGUCCUGUGACUGCGUACCUUUUGUAUAAUGGGUCAGCGACUUAUAUUCAGUGGCAAGGUUAACCAUCUAGGGGAGCCGUAGGGAAACCGAGUCUUAACUGGGCGUUCAGUCUCUGGAUAUAGACCCGAAACCAGGUGAUCUAGCCAUGGGCAGGUUGAAGGUUGAGUAACAUCAACUGGAGGACCGAACCGACUAAUGUUGAAAAAUUAGCGGAUGACUUGUGGCUAGGGGUGAAAGGCCAAUCAAACCUGGAGAUAGCUGGUUCUCCCCGAAAGCUAUUUAGGUAGCGCCUCGGACGAAUACUACUGGGGGUAGAGCACUGUUAAGGCUAGGGGGUCAUCCCGACUUACCAACCCUUUGCAAACUCCGAAUACCAGUAAGUACUAUCCGGGAGACACACGGCGGGUGCUAACGUCCGUCGUGGAGAGGGAAACAACCCAGACCGCCAGCUAAGGUCCCAAAUUACUACUAAGUGGGAAACGAUGUGGGAAGGCUCAGACAGCCAGGAUGUUGGCUUAGAAGCAGCCAUCAUUUAAAGAAAGCGUAAUAGCUCACUGGUCGAGUCGGCCUGCGCGGAAGAUGUAACGGGGCUAAGUAGUAAACCGAAGCUGCGGCAAUAUACUUUUGUAUAUUGGGUAGGGGAGCGUUCUGUAAGCGGUUGAAGGUGUGUGGUAACGCAUGCUGGACGUAUCAGAAGUGCGAAUGCUGACAUGAGUAACGAUAAAGGGGGUGAAAAACCUCCUCGCCGGAAGACCAAGGGUUCCUGUCCAACGUUAAUCGGGGCAGGGUAAGUCGACCCCUAAGGCGAGGCCGAAAGGCGUAGUCGAUGGGAAACGGGUUAAUAUUCCCGUACUUCUUACAAUUGCGAUGGGGGGACGGAGAAGGCUAGGUGGGCCUGGCGACGGUUGUCCAGGUUCAAGUGCGUAGGCUUGAGAGUUAGGUAAAUCCGGCUCUUUUUAAGGCUGAGACACGACGUCGAGCACCUACGGGUGUGAAGUCAUUGAUGCCAUGCUUCCAGGAAAAGCCUCUAAGCUUCAGAUUGUAAGGAAUCGUACCCCAAACCGACACAGGUGGUCGGGUAGAGAAUACCAAGGCGCUUGAGAGAACUCGGGUGAAGGAACUAGGCAAAAUGGUACCGUAACUUCGGGAGAAGGUACGCUCUUGAUGGUGAAGUCCCUUGCGGAUGGAGCUGACGAGAGUCGCAGAUACCAGGUGGCUGCAACUGUUUAUUAAAAACACAGCACUGUGCAAAAUCGUAAGAUGACGUAUACGGUGUGACGCCUGCCCGGUGCCGGAAGGUUAAUUGAUGGGGUUAGACUUCGGUCGAAGCUCUUGAUCGAAGCCCCGGUAAACGGCGGCCGUAACUAUAACGGUCCUAAGGUAGCGAAAUUCCUUGUCGGGUAAGUUCCGACCUGCACGAAUGGCGUAAUGAUGGCCACGCUGUCUCCACCCGAGACUCAGUGAAAUUGAAAUCGCUGUGAAGAUGCAGUGUACCCGCGGCUAGACGGAAAGACCCCGUGAACCUUUACUACAGCUUGGCACUGAACAUUGACCCUACAUGUGUAGGAUAGGUGGGAGGCUUUGAAGCACGUACGCCAGUAUGUGUGGAGCCGUCCUUGAAAUACCACCCUUGUAGUGUUGAUGUUCUAACGUCGACCCCUUAUCGGGGUUGCGGACAGUGCCUGGUGGGUAGUUUGACUGGGGCGGUCUCCUCCCAAAGAGUAACGGAGGAGCACGAAGGUGGGCUAAUCACGGUUGGACAUCGUGAGGUUAGUGCAAUGGCAUAAGCCCGCUUGACUGCGAGAAUGACAAUUCGAGCAGGUGCGAAAGCAGGUCAUAGUGAUCCGGUGGUUCUGAAUGGAAGGGCCAUCGCUCAACGGAUAAAAGGUACUCCGGGGAUAACAGGCUGAUACCGCCCAAGAGUUCAUAUCGACGGCGGUGUUUGGCACCUCGAUGUCGGCUCAUCACAUCCUGGGGCUGAAGUCGGUCCCAAGGGUAUGGCUGUUCGCCAUUUAAAGUGGUACGCGAGCUGGGUUUAGAACGUCGUGAGACAGUUCGGUCCCUAUCUGCCGUGGGCGUUGGAAGAUUGAAGGGGGCUGCUCCUAGUACGAGAGGACCGGAGUGGACGAACCUCUGGUGUUCGGGUUGUGUCGCCAGACGCAUUGCCCGGUAGCUAAGUUCGGAAUCGAUAACCGCUGAAAGCAUCUAAGCGGGAAGCGAGCCCUGAGAUGAGUCUUCCCUGAUACUUUAAGUAUCCUAAAGGGUUGUCGGAGACUACGACGUUGAUAGGUCAGGUGUGUAAGUGCUGUGAGGCAUUGAGCUAACUGAUACUAAUUGCCCGUGAGGCUUAACCAUACAACACCCAAGGGGUUU